rnacentral:rRNA from 1 species
GAUGAACGCUAGCUACAGGCUUAACACAUGCAAGUCGAGGGGAAACGGCAUUAAGUGCUUGCACUUUUUGGACGUCGACCGGCGCACGGGUGAGUAACGCGUAUCCAACCUUCCCAUGACUAAGGGAUAACCUGCCGAAAGGCAGACUAAUACCUUAUGGUCUUCACUGACGGCAUCAGAUGUGAAGUCAAGAUUUAUCGGUUAUGGAUGGGGAUGCGUCUGAUUAGCUUGUUGGCGGGGUAACGGCCCACCAAGGCAACGAUCAGUAGGGGUUCUGAGAGGAAGGUCCCCCACAUUGGAACUGAGACACGGUCCAAACUCCUACGGGAGGCAGCAGUGAGGAAUAUUGGUCAAUGGGCGAGAGCCUGAACCAGCCAAGUAGCGUGCAGGAUGACGGCCCUAUGGGUUGUAAACUGCUUUUGUAUGGGGAUAAAGUCAAUCACGUGUGAUUGUUUGCAGGUACCAUACGAAUAAGGACCGGCUAAUUCCGUG